GACAAACUAAUUCCUGUAGCAGCUCAUCGUGUCACAAUCUGUUUGCCUCACACCUGGAGUGGCCAGUAACGUCGUCUCCAACACAAGACUGUUGGAACAAACUAUUAAAAAGGAAACUGUGAGCAGAUGUGGAUGAAAAUUCAACAUCAUGGCUCAGAAAAGAAAUAAAAGUUUUUUAUUCAGGUUUCAUCGGCGGUCAAAAUCUAAACUCAGUGAUGCCUCACUGAGUUUAUGUCUCUACCCCACAUCAUCACUGAACCCAUCAAAGGGAGACAUCAUUGGAUUCAGCAGUGAUUUGUCCAAAGACAAAUCAGAACAAACUUCAUCCUCAGACAGAAUGCAUAAGACACGUCUCCCUCGGCCCUUCAGAAGAGAUUUCUCCAAGGAGAGGAGUCCUGACUUUAGUUCAAGGGUUCCUUCCUCACCAGUGAGCUUUGAAGAAGACAUGAAAAGAGGACGACCAAGGAAGAAUCAGCACAGACAGUGAAAGGCAACAGGACUCAUCUGCAGUCAAAACCUGAUGAUGUCUCCUACAGAAGUGAGGGAGACAUCACUGUUACACGUUUCAGAUGGAUCGAAACAAUUGCAACAAGUGAUGUUUAUUGUGAUGUCUCCGCUUCACCUUUCCUUUGAAUGGAAAACCUGGAAACAUUAAUAAAUUGCCUCAGUGAAUGAAGGAUCGGCUGCUGUUUUCUUCCCCAAACUCUGUCUUUAUAUUACAAAUUCUGAAAAUUAUGAAAUCAUGAAAUCAUAAAAUCGUACAAUAAACAUUCCUUGGUGUAAUCAUG